CGGGACACGUGGUAUCCUGUCUGAAUAUGGGGGGACCAUCCUCCAAGGCUAAAUACUCCUGACUGACCGAUAGUGAACCAGUACCGUGAGGGAAAGGCGAAAAGAACCCCGGCGAGGGGAGUGAAAAAGAACCUGAAACCGUGUACGUACAAGCAGUGGGAGCCUCUUAAUGGGGUGACUGCGUACCUUUUGUAUAAUGGGUCAGCGACUUAUAUUCUGUAGCAAGGUUAACCGAAUAGGGGAGCCGAAGGGAAACCGAGUCUUAACUGGGCGUUAAGUUGCAGGGUAUAGACCCGAAACCCGGUGAUCUAGCCAUGGGCAGGUUGAAGGUUGGGUAACACUAACUGGAGGACCGAACCGACUAAUGUUGAAAAAUUAGCGGAUGACUUGUGGCUGGGGGUGAAAGGCCAAUCAAACCGGGAGAUAGCUGGUUCUCCCCGAAAGCUAUUUAGGUAGC
rnacentral:rRNA from 1 species